rnacentral:rRNA from 1 species
GAAGAUGGGCAUGCGUGACAUUAGUUAGUUGGUGAGGUAACGGCUCACCAAGACCACGAUGUCUAGGGGAUCUGAGAGGAUGACCCCCCACACUGGUACUGAGACACGGACCAGACUCCUACGGGAGGCAGCAGUAAGGAAUAUUGGUCAAUGGGCGCAAGCCUGAACCAGCCAUGCCGCGUGCAGGAAGACGGCCCUACGGGUUGUAAACUGCUUUUAUACCGGAAUAAUUCCCUUUACGUGUAAGGGGUUGAAUGUACGGUAAGAAUAAGGAUCGGCUAACUCCGUGCCAGCAGCCGCGGUAAUACGGAGGAUCCAAGCGUUAUCCGGAUUUAUUGGGUUUAAAGGGUGCGUAGGCGGCUUUUUAAGUCAGGGGUGAAAGACGGUGGCUCAACCAUCGCAGUGCCUUUGAUACUGAAGAGCUAGAUUAAACUUGAGGUAGGCGGAAUGUGACAAGUAGCGGUGAAAUGCAUAGAUAUGUCACAGAACACCGAUUGCGAAGGCAGCUUACUAAGGUUUCAAUGACGCUGAGGCACGAAAGCGUGGGGAUCAAACAGGAUUAGAUACCCUGGUAGUCCACGCCCUAAACGAUGAAUACUCGAUGUUAGCGAUAUACAGUUAGCGUCAAAGCGAAAGCGUUAAGUAUUCCACCUGGGGAGUACGCCCGCAAGGGUGAAACUCAAAGGAAUUGACGGGGGCCCGCACAAGCGGAGGAGCAUGUGGUUUAAUUCGAUGAUACGCGAGGAACCUUACCCGGGCUUGAAAGUUACUGAAGUCCCGAGAGAUCGGGACGUCCGCAAGGACAGGAAACUAGGUGCUGCAUGGCUGUCGUCAGCUCGUGCCGUGAGGUGUUGGGUUAAGUCCCGCAACGAGCGCAACCCCUAUGUUUAGUUGCCAGCAUUUAAAGGUGGGGACCCUAAACAGACUGCC